rnacentral:rRNA from 1 species
AUUGAACGCUGGCGGCAGGCCUAACACAUGCAAGUCGAACGAGUGGCGGACGGGUGAGUAAUGUCUGGGAACCUGCCCGGUAGCGGGGGAUAACUACUGGAAACGGUAGCUAAUACCGCAUACCAUCGGAUGUGCCCAUAUGGGAUUAGCUAGUUGGUGGGGUAAAGGCUCACCUAGGCGACGAUCCCUAGCUGGUUUGAGAGGAUGACCAGCCACACUGGAACGGAGACACGGUCCAGACUCCUACGGGAGGCAGCAGGGGGGAAUAUUGGACAAUGGGGGAAAGCCUGAUGCAGCCAUGCCGCGUGUAUGAAGAAGGCCUUCGGGUUGUAAAGUACUUUCAGCGGGGAGGCGUUACCCGCAGAAUAAGCACCGGCUAACUACGUGCCAGCAGCCGCGGUAAUAC